GGGGCUGUAGCUCAGUGGUAGAGCUCUUGCCUACCACUUGCAAGGCCCUGGGUUUGAUCCUCAGCACCA
rnacentral:tRNA from 1 species